GAUUUAUGUUAAAUAUAAUGAUAGCCACGUGGCAGUGCUCAUCAGUUUAAGGAGUGGGCUGAUAGUUCUUCAUGUCUGCUUUCCUGGAUUUGACCUCUAUAAUUUUGGAUAGAACUGCCUAUCUUCUCUCCAUUAUUCUUCAUUUUUCUUCUCAUCUGUAAAAUGAAGGAGUUGAACCUAGAUAAUCUCUAAGAACCUUUCCAUUCCGUUCUAUAAUCCUCCAUCUAGAAUAUUUUGGGAAUAUAUCUGACCAAAAAGCCCAUUUCCUGAAAAAUCUCUUGUUUAACUUUUUUUUUGUUGUUGUUCUUUCUCUUCUUUCUGAACCUUUAAUAUGAAUCUCAUUAAAUUUUACUUACAAGAAAUUAAUUUCUUUUUUAAAAUUAAUUUUAUUAUAGUUUUUUAUUUACAAGAUAUAUGCAUGGGUAAUUUUUCAGCAUUGACCCUUGCAAAGCCCUGUUUUUCAACUUUUUCCUCCUCCCCACUCCCUCCCCUAGAUGGCACACAGAUGGCAUACAUGUUAAAUAUGUUAAAGUAUAUGUUAAAUACAAUAUAUGUAUACUUAUCCAUACACUUCUUUUGCUGCACAAGAAAAAUCAGACUUAGACAUAAGGUAAAAAUAACCUUAGAAGGAAAUCAAAAAUGCAAGCGAACAAAAUCCUUUUUAGCUUUUUUUUUUUUUUUUUUGUUCAAGUUGUAUAUUGUUUUUUUUUUUUUUAAUUUUAAUUUUAAUUUAAUUUUAUUUAAUAAUAACUUUGUAUUGACAGAAUCCAUGCCAGGGUAAUUUUUUACAACAUCCCCCUUUUUAGCUUCUUGAGAGUGACUCUACUGCAGUGGGAAUGAAAAUGCCUUUCUCUCUGUGUGCUUUAGCUUCCUCUCUGCCUCUGACCUUUCCUACCUUUUCCAGCUCAGGAGCACUAUAUAUUUUCAUGUAGUUCUCCAUGGUGCUAGGGGUUCUCUGCCUUCAGCAGACAAUAGGGGACCUUUCUCUGGUCUGGUACUAUGCUCUCCAUGGCUGUCAUAUUGAGUGACUACUAGAGCUACCACCUGCCUUCUGUGCUUAAUGCCAUUCAGGAAAUGAAGGAAUCUUCGGGACCCAAGUUUAUUGUGUGAGAGCAAAGAAAGAGCAAUGAAAGGGGCUGAAAUUUGCUUCCCAUGGCACACAUCUGGUGAGACAAAAUCCUGGCAGAAUGAAGGCUCUCUGUUGAGGGCAGCAGAGGCCCCUGUGUUGUGGGCUUUGGAGCUCAGUGCUCAGUGGAGGGAAGAUGGGGAAUGGGGAGGUUGGGUUGGUGGGAAGGAUGUAGCAAAUCAGAAGGCACCUGAAGCAGGGCCUGGGUUAAAGAGAGGGAUGGUAGAGGGAGAAAUCCUCUCCUUGACUGAGAUAGCACAGCUUCCUAGCCUUUGUGUUUCUGCUAUUCUCUCCUAAAUAGCUGGGACCUUCAAGUCAAAUUCCCAUGGGAUGACAUUCUGUGUGUCCUGAAACCAAGGUUCUCCCAACUUCUAACGAGUCCGUGCAGACUUGCUGCUUGCUGUGUCAUCGGGAGCGCAAGGACUGGGAAGGCCCUUCCCACAAUGGGCUGGUCUCCUCUGGGGAGAGGCUCCCGCCUGACUUUGUGCCAACGAUCGUUCAGAACCUGCUGGGAGAGAUGCCUCUGUGGAUCUGCCAGAGCUGCCGAAAGAGUGUGGAGGAUGAAGAAAGGAAGGCUCUUCAAGAACAGUCCCUGGCGGUCUCAUUAUCACACACGUCCUGCAAGUCACAGUCUUGUGGGGGUGGUUCCCACUCCUCUUCCUCUUCUUCUUCCUCGUCAUCAUCGUCCUCCUCCUCCUCAUGCCAUGGGAACUCAGGGGACUGGGAUCCCAGCUCGUUCCUGUCUGCACACAAACUCUCAGGCCUCUGGAACUCCCAGCAGGCUGGCGGUACCAUGCAGGGCCCCUCGAUGGGGGGCCCUCCUGCACCUGGUGAGGCCUUCCACUCCUCUGAUCAUCACCGGCACUCAGACCUCACCGCUCCCCCCAAUAGUCCCACUGGCCAUUCCCAACCACCAGCAUCACUGAUCCCUGCUCACCCAGGACCCUUUGGAUCUCCUCCCCAUGCCCACCUAACCCCUACUGCCCAGGCAUCACCUUUUCCCACACCUGUCCCCAACAAUCAUGCUCCAGUGCCCAAAACUCCUUCUGAGUCACCUGCUGCCGCUGCCGUUGCUGCCCCACAUAGCCCAGCAUCAUGUAAGAGCCCUCACUUAACCUCCGCCAACAUGCCGCUUCUGAAGAUGCCUCCUCCACUCUCAGGGUGUAAUCACCCCUGCAACGGGCAUUGCACUGGGUCUUUGGUCCCUCAAGCUGCCUCACAUCAGCUUCCCAGCACUAACAGAGACCCAGGAUGCAAGGGGCACAAGUUUACAAAUGGUACUGGUUGCCACCCACCACAGUCAUGUGAUGCAGAUGAGGGUCUUGGAGAGGAUGAGGACAGCAGCUCAGAACGAAGCUCCUGCACCUCAUCCUCCACCACUCAGAAAGAUGGGAAAUUCUGUGACUGCUGCUACUGCGAGUUCUUUGGACACAAUGCGCCCCCCGCUGCCCCGACAAGUCGCAACUACGCUGAGAUACGAGAGAAGCUGCGCUCACGACUGACAAAGAGGAAAGAGGAGCUGCCCCAGAAGAUGGGCCUGGCAGGGAGUGGCCCAGGUGAACCAGCUGUGGAUCAUCGGGAUGUGGAUGAACUGCUGGACUACAUCAACAGUACUGAACCCAAACCCCUCAACAGUGCCAAGGCAGCCAAGCGAGCUCGUCACAAACUGAAGAAGAAGGAGAAGGAAAAAGCCCAACUGGAAGCUGAAGGCUCUAAGCGUGCUGAUCGAAAUUCCAUGGCUGGUCAAGGUGCAGAACCAUCAGGGGAGAAGCUCUUAGAGUGGCCGCAGCUUGAACUGGAGCGGGUCAACAGCUUCUUGACCAGCCGUUUACAGGAGAUCAAAAAUACCAUCAAGGAGUCCAUCCGAGCCAGCUUCAGUGUAUAUGACCUUAAUCUGGAUGUGAAUGACUUUCCUAAAAAGGCAGCCAUGCUGGAGCAGAGAGACCUUCUUUCCCGCCUCAAUGGCUCAUCUGACCUACAAGAGAUUGGCUUAGAUCUCUCACCUUUGACUUUAGGUUCCUCCCAGAACCACACACUACACUCCCCUAGUGAGCGGGACCUGCCCCAGGAUGAGAGAGUGCCUCUUUCCUCAUCUCCCACCACUGAGAAUGGGCUACUUAAAAGGCUUAGUGCUGUGCCUAACCUCUCCCGUAUGAUCUGGGUUCAGUCUCCAAAGACUGCUGACUCAGCCCCUGAAGAGCUGAGCCAGAAUGUGAAGGAUGCAGUCUCCAUUAAUGGGCCUGAGCUCCCUGAGCCCCCACCUGGUGGAGGGGGAAGGCAAAAGAAAAAUAAGAGGCAGAACAAUCAGGGCAAGAAGAGUGAGACAUAUGCAGUACCUGGGCAUCAGGCCAAGGUGGAGAGCCCCUCCACUAAGGGACAAGCUUCAGGAGCCAGGCAACCAGCCAAGGGCCUGGAGCCCUCAGAAGGGCCUCGUGGGAGCCGAUCAGGACAGAACUGGACUUGGAAUGCUAAGGUUGAGAAAGGAAACUUGUGGAAAAGCCGAAAGAGUGAAGCCAAGAUGGACCGGCCAGAACAGGAAUCUGUGCAGCUGCCUGGCCCAGGGCAUGGGCCAUUUGGGAAUCCCUCUGGGCUGGGAGCCUCACCACAGACCAAGGGAAAGCACAGAAAGAACCGGAACAAGAUGGAGAAAUCUACCACUUCUCUGGAUGAUGUGUUCCUGCCCAAGGAUGUGGAUGGAGUAGAAAUGGAUGAGACGGACCGGGAGGUGGAAUACUUCAAGAGGUUCUGCCUGGAUUCUGCAAAGCAGACUCGUCAAAAAGUGGCUGUGAACUGGACCAACUUCACUCUCAAGAAAAUCACCUCCAGCGCAGCUCAGUGAGCUUCUCUUUUCUACCGGUUCCUGAGAUGCCUGGGAACACUAGUCACUGGUCCUCAUCUCAUUCCUGUCCCACGUGACCUUUUCCAGCACAGCCCGGCAGAGAGUGAAGGCCUGACUCCUCUGCUUCUCUUCAACUGACAGGAAAGUUGUAGGAAAUGUGGAACCCCAGUGUUUGGCCUUCACAUCAUAUCCAACUUAAACUCUGGGGGAAGGGCCUACUUUCCUACACACACAAAGCACACCACCAGAUGCAAAGUAAUAGGAUACCCUUAAACAGAGCCAGCCUUCUUCCCUCACCCCUAGCCCAGUGCAGCCUAGGAGUAUCUGGGGCGGGUAGAGUAUAAGAUUGUGAUCAGGAAAGGCUUUUACACAGCAACUGUCAGCCCCCCUCAUUUUACAGCUGAAGAAGCAGAGGCCCAGUGAGGGGAAGGAAUUUCUCCAACCUUAAACCAGGUAGUAAGUAGUAGAGCUAGAAUUUGGACUCAGGCCCUGAUACUAAACCCUAUACUGUAGCCAGGAAUACAGACAUCAAAGAGAUGUGAGAAGCAUUUUGUAGGAGACAGGGAGAUGUCAACAGGAUGGUUGAAAGCUGUCUGAAGAUGGGGAGCUUGGGCCCCAGAUGGGAGCCUUCAGUAAGCACCACGCCUACCCCACAUUGUUGUAGACUGAGAAUUCCCACUCCCUCCUUUGCUCCCUCCCAUAUUCCCCUUCCAGCCAUCUCCUUUAGUCUACUGGCCUCUAGACUCAUGGUCAGCUGUCUGCCUGGAUUGUUAUACUUAAAGGCUGCGCAACUGUCCUUCAGGGCUUGGGGAAACUGACUGGAAAAGGAGGAAAAUUGGGAUUGAGGGGGAAACUCAUGGGACAAGGAUCUUGUUGUUCAACUUGGGGAGGACCCCAGCUUCCCACCUCUGUAGCAUCCUCUGGUUGGAGGAUGUGGAUCAGGUCUACAUAGCUGCACUCAACAGUGGGGACUGGAGCAGGUUCCUAGCAUACUAGCAUACUGUCCUCAGGAACAGAGAGAAACCUGCUCAGACCUGUCCCUUACCCACCAGCCCUCCUCUUCUCCCUUCCAGGGAAGUUGGGAACUUUCUCAAGUAACUAGUUACAGAGCCAUUUUCAUUCUGUAGUCAGGUUCCAAGAAUCUUGUUUCUACUCUUUCCCUUCCCUCCUCCUGCCUUUAGGAGUGCUCUCUGAACUUCCUGCCUUCCUCUGAAAAUGGGACACUUUCUAUUCUUUGAAAACAGUCUUGGGGUCCAGAGCUGAAAGGGCCUUUAGAGGUCAUCUAAGCGCUCCCAUACCCCCAGCCCCUUGCUCAAGGUUAGUUAGUGAGUAGGUUAGCCAAGAUUAGAACCUCCUAGGUUCUAACUAGACUCCAAAUCCAGUUCUCUUUUUGCUUCUGCUAUCAGUGCCCCCCAACCUAGCUACUUAAGGCCUCUGGCUUGGCUUGCUAAACACAGAAUUGACAAACUGUUUUGAGAGUUUAGUGGCAACAGGUUCCCUAAAUGCUGAACUUUGACCUCACAGCCUUUUUUUAAAAAAUCCCUUUGCAACAUGAGCCCAAUCAGCUGAUCAUCCCCAACCCCUCAGUCUUGUUCCAGAUUCUCUUUUCUGUCCUGGGACAAGCACUGGAAGUUCCUAGGAUUCUACUUCUAACUUUGCCAUAUCUAAUGAGCCCCUGCCUGGUCCACACUGAACUAUUCUUCUCCAGGAUGGUCGUAACUCUUGGGUACUGGCUGAAUGUCUGGAGAGAAAGUACUUUCCCUCCCCACUC